rnacentral:rRNA from 1 species
CUCUGUGACUCCUACGGGAGGCAGCAGUGGGGAAUAUUGCACAAUGGGGGAAACCCUGAUGCAGCCAUGCCGCGUGUGUGAAGAAGGCCUUCGGGUUGUAAAGCACUUUCAGUAGGGAGGAAGGUAGUGUAGUUAACACCUGCAUUAUUUGACGUUACCUACAGAAGAAGCACCGGCUAACUCCGUGCCAGCAGCCGCGGUAAUACGGAGGGUGCGAGCGUUAAUCGGAAUUACUGGGCGUAAAGCGCAUGCAGGUGGUUUGUUAAGUCAGAUGUGAAAGCCCGGGGCUCAACCUCGGAACUGCAUUUGAAACUGGCAGACUAGAGUACUGUAGAGGGGGUAGAAUUUCAGGUGUAGCGGUGAAAAUGCGUAGAGAUCUGAAGGAAUACCGGUGGCGAAGGCGGCCCCUGGACAGAUACUGACACUCAGAUGCGAAAGCGUGGGGAGCAAACAGGUUUAGAUACCCUGGGAG